rnacentral:lncRNA from 1 species
UAAAGUAACUUGCCAAAAGCCUCAUAACUCCUAAGUUAUGAGAAACCCUCCUAAAGCCAGAGGGUCUCAGCAAUGAAAGUCUUCAAAAUGAAGCAGUUAAAUAAAGAAGGAAAAGUAUUGAAGCCUAAAGAUAUUUCCUGAAGUCCAUGAGCCUUCUUUCAUUGGAGGAGAAUAAGUUUGGAUCUAUUUCCCAGCUGAAGAAAGACUCAGAUACCUGAUCUUAAUAGCAUAUUGCUCUAGCAACUAAUUAAACAGAAAACAGACAGUCUUCCACUCAAUCAAGUCCAAAAUUUUGGGACAAUGAACGCUUUGAGGGCAGCGCAUGCAUCUUCAUAAGGAGCCCAGAGGAUGCUUGGCUUGUGAAUGUUUUCUCUGAAUUGCUGUUCAUGACUCCAUCCACCACCAUCAAGAUUGGGAGCACUACAUAAUGAUGGGAGUGCCUGAAGCCACAUCUAAG